rnacentral:tRNA from 1 species
GCUCCUGUAGUGUAGCCCGGCCAAUCAUACUGCCCUCUCGAGGCAGUGACCCGAGUUCGAAUCUCGGCGGGAGCA